AGAGAUCAUGGCUCAGGAUGAACGCUGGCGGCGUGCCUAAUACAUGCAAGUCGAACGAGAACCACCUUCGGGUGGGGGCAGUGGCGGACGGGUGAGUAACACGUAGAUGACCUGCCUCGAAGAGAGGGACAACCCGCUGAAAGGCGAGCUAAUACCUCAUAAGCUCACGCGGUUUAGAAGCGUGUGAGAAAAGCUCCGACGCUUCGAGAGGGGUCUGCGGGCUAUCAGCUAGUUGGCGGGGUAACGGCCCACCAAGGCGGUGACAGCUAGGGGACCUGAGAGGGUGAUCCCCCACACGGGAACUGAGAAACGGUCCCGACUCCUACGGGAGGCAGCAGUAAGGGAUAUUGCACAAUGGGCGCAAGCCUGAUGCAGCAACGCCGCGUGCAUGAUGAAGGCCUUCGGGUCGUAAAAUGCUUUUCUGACUGAAGAGGAAGGACAGAAAGUCAGGAAUAAGUGUCGGCUAACUACGUGCCAGCAUCCGCGGUAAAACUUACGA
rnacentral:rRNA from 1 species